UGGGGAAUAUUGCACAAUGGGCGCAAGCCUGAUGCAGCCAUGCCGCGUGUGUGAAGAAGGCCUUCGGGUUGUAAAGCACUUUCAGCGAGGAGGAAGGUGGUGAGCUUAAUACGCUCAUCAAUUGACGUUACUCGCAGAAGAAGCACCGGCUAACUCCGUGCCAGCAGCCGCGGUAAUACGGAGGGUGCAAGCGUUAAUCGGAAUUACUGGGCGUAAAGCGCACGCAGGCGGUUUGUUAAGUCAGAUGUGAAAUCCCCGGGCUCAACCUGGGAACUGCAUUUGAAACUGGCAAGCUAGAGUCUCGUAGAGGGGGGUAGAAUUCCAGGUGUAGCGGUGAAAUGCGUAGAGAUCUGGAGGAAUACCGGUGGCGAAGGCGGCCCCCUGGACGAAGACUGACGCUCAGGUGCGAAAGCGUGGGGCAGCAAACAGGAUUAGAUACCCUGGUAGUCA
rnacentral:rRNA from 1 species